AUGGGCGAUGCUGCAAAAUCUUGCUAUACGAGACGUAAUAAGGACUGGGGACUUACAAAUGAGGAGGAUUUCCAGAAAUGUGCUUCACGUCAAGUGAUGGACGAUUGUGGAAAUGGACACAGUAGCAAAGUGGACACCAGAUUUGAAAAAAGAAAGGGAACAUCAAGUGAUUAUGGAACAAGUCCUAGAAAGGGAGCACAUGCUGCUUUGAAUAGUCCAAAUUCUUCAAAAAACAUUGUUUACAAUCAAGGGGCAAGAAUAAAUGAUUCUUCAAAAGACCAAAUUAAGAAAUGGGUGUCUGACAACCAUCAAGCUAAUUCCAGCAGUUGGAGAGAAUUCAAAUCCACAGCCCGGAUACCUGUGAUUAUCAGACCACGGAAAGAGUUUCCUCAUGAAUGUGAGAGUUUUGGAGGCAGAAGUGGAAGAAGGCAGCUCUUUAGAGACCUCACAAGUGAAGAUUUAUCUGAUAGAAAAGGAAAUUCUGAAAUGAAGAAACAUAGGAAACCAAGGAGAUCAAGAAGAAUAAAAAAAGAAGACAAUGAUCAGGAUGAUGAACUGGAUGGCCCUGUUAUAGAUGAGUCUUUACUGACAGCAGAAGAAUUACUGGGGUUGCAGCAGGCUGAAGAACGACUUAAGGGAGACUACAUUUAUAGACUGAGGAAGCGACCUCGAAGCAACCCAACAGCUAAAUAUACUUGCAGGUUAUGUGACGUAUUGAUUGAGUCAGUGGCAUUUGCUCAUAAGCAUAUCAAGGAAAAAAGACACAAGAAAAACAUAAAGGAAAAACAAGAACAAGAACUGCUGAAUGCACUUCCUUCACCAACAGUUUUGCAAAUUGAAGCUAUUGGUAUAGCCGUUCAAAAAGUAGUAGAAGAGUUUGGAUUAAAUAAUGAAGAUGUAGAACAAAGGCUUGGAAUCAAAACUACUAUGGAGAAUGUAUUUCAACCAAAACUGCCAGAUUGUUCUCUAAGGUUGUAUGGUUCUUCCUGGAGCAGAUUUGGCUUUAAAAAUUCUGAUAUAAAUCUCGAUAUCCAGUUUCCAUCCAGUAUGUCCCAACCAGAUGUUCUCUUACUUGGACAAGAAAGCUUGAAGAGCAGUGAAUCUUUUAUUGAUGUUGAUGCAGAUUUCCAUGCUAAAGUGCCUGUGGUGGUGUGCAAAGAAAAACAAAGUGGCCUUGUUUGCAGAGUAAGUGCAGGAAAUGAUAAUGCUUGUCUGACGACCAAUCACUUGGCUAUGCUUGGAAGAUUAGAGCCUCAUCUUGUGUCCUUGGUCAUUGCUUUCAGACACUGGGCCAAGCUAUGUUGUAUAGAUCAUCCUGAAGAAGGUGGUUUACCAUCUUAUGUAUUUGCUCUAAUGGUUAUUUUCUUUCUGCAACAAAGGAAGGAACCUUUUCUGCCUGUCUAUUUAGGUUCAUGGAUUGGAGGAUUUUCAUUAAACAAAUUAGUGAAUUUUAAUCUUAAAAAAGUUGAAAAUAAUACUGUGGUCUGGGAAUACAGCCCUGGUAUUGAUCCCAGUUCUUCAAAGGAAUCUUCUCCUAAAAGGGGAAAGGUUCCUUUAGUAUUUGAUUCAGAUCAACAGUGUUCAGUUCCAAUUGGACAGCUAUGGGUUGAACUGCUUCGUUUUUAUGCCUUGGAGUUUAAUCUGUCUGACUUGGUGAUAAGCAUACGGCUCAAAGAAAAACUAGCUCGUGAAUCCAAGGACUGGCCUAAAAAAAGAAUUGCUGUGGAAGAUCCUUAUUCCGUAAAGAGGAAUGUGGCAAGAACUCUUAAUAGUCAGUUAGUAUAUGAGUAUAUACUUCAUUGUUUACGGUCAACUUACAAGUAUUUUGCCUUGCCUCAUAAACAGAAUGCAAAAAACAACCAAAUACAAUCUCUAGAGGGCUCAAUACCUCUAGAACCUGAGAAGAAUGCCUUUAAGCAAACAGUCCCUGAUAUAAAAAAUGACCAUAAUGAAAUGGAGAAUACUGUAAUAGACAGCUGUAUAACUUCUACCAAGAAAAGUUCAUAUUUUCCUGAAGAACAUAUGUGUGAGCCUUCUCAGGUAUUUAUUGAUGAAAACUUUGUGGAAGAACAGUUGGCAGAUGGUGAACAUUUAGGAAUGUCUUAUGAGGACUCAGAUUGCAUAAUUGAAGAAUUCAUUUCGGGUGACAAUGAGGAAUUUAAACCAAGCUGUGAAGAGACUGAGAGUGGAAAUGAAGAGGAGGAAGAGGGGCAUGUACAGGAACAUUUGGAUAGUAACCAAGACAGUGAAAGUGGAGAUCUUGCUAUUCGAAUUAGUGAGCAUGAUGUUGAAACAGACAGCAUUUCUGAUUUGGAAAAUUUUCAAAAUGUAAUAACUGUCCUUGAGGAGUUUGGUACUGAUGAACUGGAUGAUUCCCUGUUCAAACUGGAACCGCCAACUCAGGAACAAGUAUCUGAAAUGGAUAACUCGGAAGAAGAUGAGGAGGAAGAAACAGAGGAAGAAGACGAAGAGCAUAGUAUUAAAAACCAAGGGCAACAUGAGAACAUAAUCAAUACCGAAGAUGAGCUGGACAAUACAUACACUGGAUCUGGUGUUGAAGAACCUCUUUCCGAAGAGGAAUUGCUUAUUGCUCAUGGGGACAUUGCGCUAAAGAAGAGAGUAGAUGAAUUUUCAAGUGUAGAUUUGAACAAAGAAGAUGAUCCUGAAAAAGAAGUUCUUACUGAAAGCGACAAGCCAGUAGACCAGAGUAAUAAGCUUGAAUUCUUCUAUGAAUUUAAUAAAGCUGCUUUCACAAAAGGCAAGACUCCUACAGUUGUAUGCAGUUUAUGUAAGCGAGAAGGUCAUCUAAAGAGGGACUGUCCAGAAGACUUUAAAAAAAUUGAACUGGAUCCUUUGCCACCAUUAACGUCCAAGUUUUCUAGUAUUCUGGAUCAAGUGUGCAUUCAAUGUUACAAAGAUUUUGCUCCAAAUGUUAUAGAAGACCAGGCUCGGGAAUAUAUAAGACAAAAUCUUGAAGGUUUCAUCCGACAAGAAUUUCCAGGCACAAAAUUAAACUUGUUUGGGUCUUCAAAGAAUGGAUUUGGCUUCAAGCAAAGCGAUCUUGAUAUUUGUAUGACAAUUGAUGGUCUGGAAACUGCUGAGGGACUUGAUUGUAUAAGAAUUAUUAAAGAACUUGCAAGAGUGUUGAAGAAACAUUCAGGUUUAAGAAAUAUCUUACCCAUAACAACUGCUAAAGUGCCGAUUGUCAAGUUUUUUCAUAUCCGAAGUGGCCUUGAAGUAGACAUCAGUCUGUAUAACACAUUGGCUCUGCAUAACACAAGGCUCUUGUCUUGUUAUGCCACAAUUGAUCCCAGAGUAAAAUAUCUUUGCUACACAAUGAAAGUAUUUACAAAGAUGUGCGACAUUGGUGAUGCAUCCAGAGGGAGCUUAUCUUCCUAUGCAUAUACGCUAAUGGUGCUCUAUUUUCUUCAGCAGAGAAGUCCACCUGUUAUUCCAGUUCUUCAAGAGAUCUGUACAGAGCCAAAGAAACCUGAAAUUCUAGUUGAUGGCUGGAAUGUUUAUUUCUUUGACAGAAUAAAUGAACUGUCAGAUGUUUGGUCAGAUUUUGGUAAAAAUAAAGAAUCCAUUGGUGAAUUAUGGCUAGGACUUCUACGUUUUUAUACUGAGGAAUUUGAUUUUAAAGAGCAUGUUAUCUGCAUCCGAAGAAAAAAUUUGCUUACAACGUUCAAGAAACAGUGGACUUCGAAAUACAUAGUCAUUGAAGGUAUCUACUUUAUGAACAUUUUAUUGACAUUUUAA
rnacentral:lncRNA from 1 species